rnacentral:rRNA from 1 species
CCAGAGAAUUUAGCAGAGAUGCUUUAGUGCCUUCGGGAACUCUGAGACAGGUGCUGCAUGGCUGUCGUCAGCUCGUGUUGUGAAAUGUUGGGUUAAGUCCCGCAACGAGCGCAACCCUUAUCCUUUGUUGCCAGCACGUAAUGGUGGGAACUCAAAGGAGACUGCCGGUGAUAAACCGGAGGAAGGUGGAGAUGACGUCAAGUCAUCAUGGCCCUUACGAGUAGGGCUACACACGUGCUACAAUGGCGCAUACAAAGAGAAGCGACCUCGCGAGAGCAAGCGGACCUCAUAAAGUGCGUCGUAGUCCGGAUUGGAGUCUGCAACUCGACUCCAUGAAGUCGGAAUCGCUAGUAAUCGUAAAUCAGAAUGUUACGGUGAAUACGUUCCCGGGCCUUGUACACACCGCCCGUCACACCAUGGGAGUGGGUUGCAAAAGAAGUAGAUAGCUUAACCUUCGGGAGGGCGUUUACCACUUUGUGAUUCAUGACUGGGGUGAAGUCGUAACAAGGUAAGCGUAGUGCU